rnacentral:rRNA from 1 species
AUUGAACGCUGGCGGCAGGCCUAACACAUGCAAGUCGAACGCGUGGCGGACGUGUGAGUAAUGUCUGGGAAACUGCCUGAUGGAGGGGGAUAACUACUGGAAACGGUAGCUAAUACCGCAUACUAUCGGAUGUGCCCAGAUGGGAUUAGCGAGUAGGUGGGGUAACGGCUCACCUAGGAGACGAUCCCUAGCUGGUCUGAGAGGAUGACCAUCCACACGGGAACUGGGACACGGUCCAGACUCCGACGGGAGGCAGCAGUGGGGAAUAUUGCACAAUGGGCGCAAGCCUGAUGCAGCCAUGCCGCGGGGGUGAAGAAGGCCUUCGGGUUGUAAAGCACUUUCAGCGGGGAGGCGUUACCCGCAGAAGAAGCACCGGCUAACUCCGUGCCAGCAGCCGCGGUAAUAC